rnacentral:rRNA from 1 species
UACGUAGGGUGCAAGCGUUAAUCGGAAUUACUGGGCGUAAAGCGUGCGCAGGCGGUGAUGUAAGACAGGUGUGAAAUCCCCGGGCUUAACCUGGGAACUGCAUUUGUGACUGCAUCGCUGGAGUGCGGCAGAGGGGGAUGGAAUUCCGCGUGUAGCAGUGAAAUGCGUAGAUAUGUGGAGGAACACCGAUGGCGAAGGCAGCCCCCUGGGUCAAGACUGACGCUCAUGCACGAAAGCGUGGGGAGCAAACAGG